GCAGAUUCGGUGAUGACAUGGAUUUAGUCCCAACAGUCUGAGGGGGAACUUUGGUCGGUACCCCCCUUCUUGAUGAAUAUUAGAUAUCAUCUUUCGGGGCUGAGAGUUUGC
rnacentral:snoRNA from 1 species